GAGUGAAGCGGCAAAAGCUCAAAUUUGAAAUCUGGCUCUUUCAGAGUCCGAGUUGUAAUUUGAAGAAGGUAUCUUUGGGUCUGGCUCUUGUCUAUGUUUCUUGGAACAGAACGUCACAGAGGGUGAGAAUCCCGUGCGAUGAGAUGAUCCAGGCCUAUGUAAAGUUCCUUCGAAGAGUCGAGUUGUUUGGGAAUGCAGCUCUAAGUGGGUGGUAAAUUCCAUCUAAAGCUAAAUAUUGGCGAGAGACCGAUAGCGAACAAGUACAGUGAUGGAAAGAUGAAAAGAACUUUGAAAAGAGAGUGAAAAAGUACGUGAAAUUGUUGAAAGGGAAGGGCUUGAGAUCAGACUUGGUAUUUUGUAUGUUACUUCUUCGGGGGUGGCCUCUACAGUUUAUCGGGCCAGCAUCAGUUUGGGCGGUAGGAGAAUUGCGUUGGAAUGUGGCACGGCUUCGGUUGUGUGUUAUAGCCUUCGUCGAUACUGCCAGCCUAGACUGAGGACUGCGGUUUAUACCUAGGAUGUUGGCAUAAUGAUCUUAAGUCGCCCGUCUUGAAACACGGACCAAGGAGUCUAACGUCUAUGCGAGUGUUUGGGUGUAAAACCCGUACGCGUAAUGAAAGUGAACGUAGGUGGGGGCCCGUAUGGGUGCACCAUCGACCGAUCCUGAUGUCUUCGGAUGGAUUUGAGUAAGAGCAUAGCUGUUGGGACCCGAAAGAUGGUGAACUAUGCCUGAAUAGGGUGAAGCCAGAGGAAACUCUGGUGGAGGCUCGUAGCGGUUCUGACGUGCAA
rnacentral:rRNA from 1 species